ACACAUAAAUUUUGAAUGUCUAGUUACCCUAUUAUUACCCACAAGGGUAAAGCAACAACACCACUGCUUGAUAACUGGAAAGUCCAUAUGUGUGUCAAUCUCUGUGUUCCGUGGCAAGGCAGAUUGGCAAAAAUGCCCAACCUUUACUCAUAUUCGAGAAAACAAUCCCAAUAAGAUUGAUUGCUCAAAAAUCGAAGAGGCACCGCUCUCCAAUUCUCGAGAGCCUCACUCAGGAACUUAGGGGAGCACUGUUUGUACCAUACUUGAUCAAUCCCGAAAGUACUGAGCACCAGUCAACGUUAUACCGUUAAGGACCCAGAAGAGUUUCCCUCCAACCAGGAGGCCAAUCACAGCGCGACACGCGUAGACAUCAGAAGCCAAUCAUAGUGCGACACGUGUCAACAUCAGAAGCUAAUCACAACACGACACGUGUCAAUGUCAAAAUGAAACUCUCUUCUAUUAAUAGAGAUCAUU
rnacentral:lncRNA from 1 species